rnacentral:rRNA from 1 species
GGUUUCUUGUUAAUUUGAUAUAUAUAUAUAUAUAGGAGAUUUGGCCUGCCCACUGAAUUAAUUUUGAAGGGCCGCAGUAUUUUAACUGUGCAAAGGUAGCGUAAUUAUUAGUCUUUUAAUUAAAGGCUUGUAUGAAUGGUUAGACGAAGUAAAUACUGUUUUAUAUUGAUAAUGUAGUUGAAUUUGGAUUUUAAGUAAAAAUACUUAAAUUUAGUUGAGGGACGAGAAGACCCUAUAGAGUUUAAUAAAUUGUUUGGUUAUAAAGUUAAAAGCUAAAUUUUUUGUUAUGAUUUUAUUUUAUUUAAUUGGGGUGAUUGGAGGAUAAGAAAAACUCUUUUGUAUAAUUAAUAAUUAUAGGUAGAAUUUAUGAUCCAUUUUAUAGUGAUUAGAAGAAUGAAUUACCUUAGGGAUAACAGCAUAAUUUUUUUUGAAAGUUCUUAUUGAGAAGAAAGAUUGUGACCUCGAUGUUGGAUUAAGAUGAAAUUUGUGUGUAGAUGUUCAAAAAUUUAGGUCUGUUCGACCUUUAAAAUCUUACA